AUACGGAGGGUCCAAGCGUUAUCCGGAAUCAUUGGGUUUAAAGGGUUCGUAGGCGGGUCAAUAAGUCAGAGGUGAAAUCUUGCAGCUUAACUGUAAAAUUUCCUUUGAAACUGUUGACCUUGAAUUACUGUGAAGUGGUUAGAAUAUGUAGUGUAGCGGUGAAAUGCUUAGAGAUUACAUAGAAUACCGAUUGCGAAGGCAGAUCACUAACAGUAUCUUGACGCUGAUGAACGAAAGCGUGGGUAGCGAACGGGAUUAGAAACCCUAGUAGUCC
rnacentral:rRNA from 1 species